CACUGAACUAACUCAUAAGUUUUUUAAACUCUCCAGUCAUAAUUUCAAAAAAGAGCUCUGAAAAUGCAAAUCAUAUGAGUUCUAAACAUUCAUACAUGAAUUUAGUUCCAUCUGGGAUAGAAUUUAUGAGUUUGCCGUUUGUGUCUGUCAUAAUAUUUGAGUUAGCUAUGAUUUUACGUCAUGACGUCAUCGAACGUUCUGUCUGCUGGACGCAUGGAGUUGGAAAAUUCAAGAUGGCUGGCUGAAGCGGAGAAGAUUGUGGCGCAAAAUUUUGUUUAACGCAGCUAAGUUCGCCGUUUCUGAGAACCUGUGGUGCUAGCAAGUUGAAGUCCACGUGGUGCCGCGGACCGCGCAGAUCAGCAAUCUGCUCCCCAGAUAGUGAAAAGUGUGGCAGCACUGCCCCUCAUUUGUUACCGUCUUUGGAUAAAGAGGAAGUUUGAAGUUUGAUUUUGUGCAACACAUUGGAUCAGACGUUCACAGU